rnacentral:lncRNA from 1 species
CCGAGAAUGAUAUAGCAAAACUUUUUGUCCCACAAUAAAGGUUUUCCGCACAAUCUGCUUAUUAUGAAAAGCUUUGGUCUUUUCCUUGUAAAUCUUUGAACUUUCAUAGGCUUCAUUCCUCAAUUCUUCUAACUCUUGUAACUGUAAUUUCCUGUGUACUCCAGUUGCCUCCAAACUCAUGUUGCACUGCUUGAUUGCCCAAAAAGCCCUAUGCUCCAAUUCAACAGGUAAGUGGAAUGGUUUUCCAAACACAAUCCUGUAUGGUGACAUCCCAAUAGGUGUUUUGUACGCCGUUCUAUAGGCCCAAAGUGCAUCAUCUAAUC